rnacentral:rRNA from 1 species
AACGAACGCUGGCGGCAGGCCUAACACAUGCAAGUCGAACGCACCGCAAGGUGAGUGGCGCACGGGUGAGUAACACGUGGGAAUGUACCCUUUGGUUCGGAAUAACGUUUGGAAACGAACGCUAAUACCGGAUGAGCCCUACGGGGGAAAGAUUUAUCGCCAAAGGAGCAGCCCGCGUCUGAUUAGCUAGUUGGUGGGGUAAUGGCCUACCAAGGCGACGAUCAGUAGCUGGUCUGAGAGGAUGAUCAGCCACACUGGGACUGAGACACGGCCCAGACUGCUACGGGAGGCAGCAGUGGGGAAUAUUGGACAAUGGGCGGAAGCCUGAUCCAGCCAUGCCGCGUGAGUGAUGAAGGCCUUCGGGUUGUAAAGCUCUUUCGCACACGACGAUGAUGACGGUAGUGUGAGAAGAAGCCCCGGCUAACUUCGUGCCAGCAGCCGCAGUAAGAC